AUUGAACGCUGGCGGCAGGCCUAACACAUGCAAGUCGAGCGGAUGACGGGAGCUUGCUCCUUGAUUCAGCGGCGGACGGGUGAGUAAUGCCUAGGAAUCUGCCUGGUAGUGGGGGACAACGUUUCGAAAGGAACGCUCAUACCGCAUACGUCCUACGGGAGAAAGCAGGGGACCUUCGGGCCUUGCGCUAUCAGAUGAGCCUAGGUCGGAUUAGCUAGUUGGUGGGGUAAUGGCUCACCAAGGCGACGAUCCGUAACUGGUCUGAGAGGAUGAUCAGUCACACUGGAACUGAGACACGGUCCAGACUCCUACGGGAGGCAGUAGUGGGGAAUAUUGGACAAUGGGCGAAAGCCUGAUCCAGCCAUGCCGCGUGUGUGAAGAAGGUCUUCGGAUUGUAAAGCACUUUAAGUUGGGAGGAAGGGCAGUAAGUUAAUACCUUGCUGUUUUGACGUUACCGACAGAAUAAGCACCGGCUAACUCUGUGCCAGCCGCCGCAGUAAUAC
rnacentral:rRNA from 1 species